rnacentral:rRNA from 1 species
CCCUUAGACGUUCUGGGCCGCACGCGCGCUACACUGACCAGUGCAACAAGCAUCCGUCCUUGGCCGACAGGCCCGGGCAAUCUUUGAACGCUGGUCGUGAUGGGGAUAGACUUUUGCAAUUUUUGGUCUUCAACGAGGAAUUCCUAGUAAACGCAAGUCAUCAACUUGCAUUGAUUACGUCCCUGCCCUUUGUACACACCGCCCGUCGCUCCUACCGAUUGGGUGCUCCGGUGAAUUGUUUGGACUGCUGUCAGUCUUUUUGGCUGUCGGCGAGAAGCUCUGUGAACCUUAGCACCUAGAGGAAGGAGGAGUCGUANCA